rnacentral:rRNA from 1 species
GACGAACGCUGGCGGCGUGCCUAAUACAUGCAAGUCGAGCGAAUCUUUUGGGAGCUUGCUCCCGAAAGAUUAGCGGCGGACGGGUGAGUAACACGUGGGCAACCUGCCUAUAAGACUGGGAUAACUUCGGGAAACCGGAGCUAAUACCGGAUACGUUCUUUUCUCGCAUGAGAGAAGAUGGAAAGACGGUCUCGGCUGUCACUUAUAGAUGGGCCCGCGGCGCAUUAGCUAGUUGGUGGGGUAAUGGCUCACCAAGGCGACGAUGCGUAGCCGACCUGAGAGGGUGAUCGGCCACACUGGGACUGAGACACGGCCCAGACUCCUACGGGAGGCAGCAGUAGGGAAUCUUCCGCAAUGGACGAAAGUCUGACGGAGCAACGCCGCGUGAACGAAGAAGACCUUCGGGUCGUAAAGUUCUGUUGUUAGGGAAGAACAAGUACCAGAGUAACUGCUGGUACCUUGACGGUACCUAACCAGAAAGCCACGGCUAACUACGUGCCAGCAGCCGCCGUAAUAC